CAGCUCUCAAGAACUUCUGCAAGAAUAAAGAGGUGGUUCCAACGCCUGAAAAAAAACAUGACAUUUUAGAAGAAAAAUCCACACCUGUACUGAUAGAAACCCAAGUAGAAGCAGAAGUUCAGAGAGAUCCAUCAAUAGGACAAGAAUCACUAGAAGAGUCAUCAUUAACUCAAGACCAAAGACAUGAGCAACAAGAAUCCUUUGUAAAGUCAUUUUUGGGAGCACCAUCCCCAGAACAAAGACCUGAGAAAAAGGAAUCCCCUACGCAAUCAUCCUUGGAUCCAAUACCUCUAAAGCAUCAACUUGAGCAGCAAAAGAUACCUGUACAGUCCUCCUUGGGACCACCAUCUCUAGAGCAACAACCUGAACAACAAGAGGUACAUAUACAGUCAUUCCUGGGACUACCAUUCCUAGAGCAGAAACUUGAACAACAAACGGUACCUGUACAGUUGUCCUUGGGACCACCAUCCCCAGAGCAACAACUUGAACAACAUGAGGUUUCUGUAAAGUCAUCCUUGGAACCACCAUCCCCAGAGCAUGGCAAGAGAUACCUGUAUACUCAUCUUUCAAACCAUCAUCUCCAGAACAACAAUUUGAACGAGAGUCCUCUAAAGAGUCAUCCUUGGGACAGUUCUUAGAACAACCACCUGAGCAAUGAGAAUCUCUUAAAUAGUCAUCUUUGGGACCACCAUUCCAAGAAUAUCUACCCAAGCAACUAGAUCCCAAUGACAGUCAUCCUUGAGAUAACAAUCUCAGAAACAGGUGACUCUGGGACAGCACAUGAAACAAAUACUAUGGUGACAAAACAUCAGCCAUGCUGUGAAGAGAAACAAGUCAGGAACUGGACAGGACCGUAGGCAAAUGAAAAUAAAAUUAGACAAUUUAUUUUCAUAUUAUGCUGAGGUAUGCCAGUAGGGUAUUACAAUUGUCAACCUCAUAUUUUGAUGGCCGGACUUAAAGUUUAAAAGAUGAGUAAGAUUAAAUGCAUGUGGAAACCC
ensembl:lincRNA 1700022F17Rik RIKEN cDNA 1700022F17 gene